rnacentral:rRNA from 1 species
AUUGAACGCUGGCGGCAUGCUUUACACAUGCAAGUCGAACGGUAACAGGCCGCAAGGUGCUGACGAGUGGCGAACGGGUGAGUAAUGCAUCGGAACGUGCCCAGUCGUGGGGGAUAACGCAGCGAAAGCUGUGCUAAUACCGCAUACGAUCUAUGGAUGGAAGCGGGGGACCGUAAGGCCUCGCGCGAUUGGAGCGGCCGAUGUCAGAUUAGGUAGUUGGUGGGGUAAAGGCUCACCAAGCCAACGAUCUGUAGCUGGGCUGAGAGGACGACCAGCCACACUGGGACUGAGACACGGCCCAGACUCCUACGGGAGGCAGCAGUGGGGAAUUUUGGACAAUGGGCGCAAGCCUGAUCCAGCAAUGCCGCGUGCAGGAAGAAGGCCUUCGGGUUGUAAACUGCUUUUGUACGGAACGAAACGGCGAGCUCUAAUACAGUUUGCUAAUGACGGUACCGUAAGAAUAAGCACCGGCUAACUACGUGCCAGCCGCCGCGGUAACAC